rnacentral:tRNA from 1 species
AGGGUUGUAGUUAACCAUAACAUUUGAUUUGCACUCAAAAAGUACUAAAUUAGUCUACCUU